AAACCCGAAAGGUCGAAGGGAGAAAUUCAUUCGCGUCUCGACGCGGGCAUCGGACGGAGUCGAGCGACGGAGACGUGUUCGCACGUAUAUMGCGCCCUCCGUUUGGCGAACCCGCGACGAACGCGUGCACUUUUCUCCUGGUAGKACGUCGUGAUCCGUUGKGCGUCCGGUCUACGGCCCGCGGUSGAGCUCGUCCGUACGUUUCGCGACGUACGGGCGSACCCGCGGSGUCCCGGCCGACUCGCUCGACGGUAACAGAAUGGUUGGAGGCCGCUCCUCGGAGCGUUCGGCUCGCGGCAAGCGCSCCAGAUGCRUCGGCGAUCGGACCUAGUSCCGAUUCCGACCUCCGGUGACUGUUGGCCGYGAAGUUCUCGAACAGACCUUCUAAAACAACUUUCUSUCGUUCGCGCGGGGGAGAGUUGAAACCGAUCUKCGACGCUAUAGCUUUGGGUAAUUUCAGGACCCGUCUUSAAACACGGACCAAGGAGUCUAGCAUGUACGCGAGUCAUUGGGAACGAUUMAACCUAAAGGCGCAAUGAAAGUAAAGGUCCCCCUCGCGGGGACCGAGGGAAGACGGGUGGUUUCACUUCAACCGGUGGCCGCCCCGCACUCCCGGGGCGUCUA
rnacentral:rRNA from 1 species